AAUGAAAGAAGUCUUUGCCUUUGUCUGUGUUGUGUGUCUCAUUGAAUGUUUUCCUUUGUCUGCUUUAUAUAUACUGUAAUCCACUCUGAGUCCCUUUGAGGAAAAGGGCGGAAUGUGUAUAAUUAUUGACACAAAGACAUAGUAUGUCACAGCACAAGAGAUAUAUACGCUGGAUUUCGUAUCACAAAAUCACAAGUCGAACACUUCCCAUCCCAUCAACAAGUGGGCUACAGAAUCAAAAUACAAAUGAGGUAACCUCACAACCUCUGAGGAUGCUUGCCAUAAAUGAGGGCGAAACGUCAGGAGAGAAUACUUCUGGAACAUGGCCAUACAGCCCGGAAAACAUACAACAACCCAAUGCCAGAAAACCUCAAAGUGUAUUAUUAUUAUUAUUAUUAUUAUUAUUAUUAUUAUUAUUAUUAUUAUUAUUAUUAUUAUUAUUACACAUCAAACAAGAUAGAUAUGCUGGAUUUCAUAUCACAAAAUCACAAGUCGAACACUUCCCAAUUGUCUAGGACUGUGUGAUGUAUUUUUGGAUGAUGCGUGCAGAUCCCAGCAGGGUAGCCUUUUGCAGUUGGCAGAUCGUAAUUUUGUCAAUGUCUAUUGUUUCCAAAUGCCGGCUGAGAUCUUUUGGCACGGCACCCAAUGUUGUUGUUGUUGUUAUUAUUAUGACCCAGCAAACAAGAUAGAUAUGCUGAUUUCGUAUCACAAAAUCACAAGUCGAACACUUCCCAAGUGUCUAGGACUGUGUGAUGUAUUUUCGGAUGAUUCGUGCAGAUCCCAGUCGGGUGGCCUUUUGCAAUUGGCAGAUCGUAAUUUUGUCAAUAUCUAUUGUUUCCAAAUGCCGGCUGAGAUCUUUUGGCACGGCACCCAGUGUGCCCAUCACCACCGGGACCACCUGCACUGGUUUCUGCCAGAGUCUUUGAAGUUCGAUCUUGAGGUCCUGAUAGCGGCUGAGUUUUUCCUGUUGUUUUUCGUCAAUGCGACUGUCACCUGGGAUGGCAACAUCAGUGAUCCAAACCUUUUUCUUUUCCACAACUGUGAUGUCUGGUGUGUUGUGUUCCAGAACUUUUUGUCAGUCUGGAUUCGGAAGUCCCACAGUAUUUUUGUGUAUUAU
rnacentral:lncRNA from 1 species